UUUUGUUUUUAUUUCUUUCCUUAUUUUUGUGUCCACUCUAGUGGUUUUGAUGGCCUAUGUUGUUUUUAUUGACCCAGAGGCUCCCCCUGGAGGUCAAAGGAACAAAAUGUCCCCAGGGAUCAGAACCCAUGGCCCUCUGAGGCAUGUGUGUGAAAGGGCAGAGGACUCCGGAGCCAUACCGACCCUCCUCUGCAUCCUUCCGUUUCUCUCUACGUGGUCCCAUCACCUGUUUUGCAUUUAGAACCAGUGUACAUAGUAGGCUUAUGUAUGGACAGAGAGGUGAGAGAAUGUGUUUGUUGGUGACUAAUGUAAUUUAUCAGAAUUUGGUGGCCUUUCUUUUGUGUGUUUUCCAUGGUGUGGGGAGGGGUUUCCCACUGGUCCCCGUGCAGCCUGUCUGCAGGGGUUCACGUAUCAUCUCUUGAUGUCCAAACAGUCCCUUCUGGCAGGUACUUGGAGGGACAAUAGUUUGGGAUGAGACAUAGCCCCUCUUCUCACCCCCCCAUCCUUUCUUGCCAACCCCUCCCCUCCUUUUUUUAAAGGUUACAGGGUUCACUCGCUUCUGGUUAUUAUUAUUGUGUGUUAUUGAUAUUAUUGUUUUGUUUUUAUUUUAACCAAAGGGUAUCAGAGCCAGAUGGGUCUGAACCUUAGCUGCUGUAAAGAUUUCCGUUUCUAUGAGGGCAGGAAGAUGGCUGCCCUCGUGGGUCUCCUUGGCUGAGGCUGGGGAAGGCGCCCAUCCAGCGAUAAAGAGAUAGAGGCUGGGAGUCCGGCAGGCAGAGUAGAAGCCGGCCCCCGAGUCUCGUUCUUCAAGGUGGUGGUGGGCUGACACAUAGCUCUAGAGUUAAGACAGUAAGCAACAGUAUAAACAUUUGUGGUGAUGGGGAAGUUGGUGUUCUGUGGUAUUAUUUUAUUUCCCAACUGUAUAGAUAGGUCAUUUGUCCAGGGUGUAUGAGAAAGGCAGGCUCCUGUGGCUUCCUUCUUCCUGACUUUCGAAGUCUGCUUUCCCCUGGGGGUUGAGGCUUUGAGGCAGGAGGAUGAGGGGAGGGGAGCAAAGAUGUGGUAGGCCUGCGUCCUGGCUGGGUCUGGGCUCCGGGCCUGGCCUCCUCUUUGUGUUUGUUUUGAUUUGUUCGUUUCUUAGUUCGUUGCCAGUGGGUCCUGCUUGUGCCCCCACAGCCUGCUGCUCACUGGGGCAGCGCCUGCCCAGUCUGGACGAACUCGUCCAUCCUUGUGAACAUGUGCAUACUUCCUCUUGACUUUUCUAUUUCUGAGCCCAGUGUCAUAUUGACACUGGUGGUUCAGGGCUUCUCAGAUGGGCUCCCCGUGUUGCCCCUGCUCAUGCUCCUAGUUUGGGGGUCACAUACACAGGCCCAGCAGGGAGACAGCAUCCUUUUAGGUCCCUGGUUGGUCAUGAAAUAUACACAUGCGUGUACACACACACACACACACACACACACACACACACACACACACACACUCCGCUCUGACUCCAAAGGAGAAAGGUGGGGAGGAGGUUCCACCUCCUCACCGUGGCAGUGUGUCUGGAAGGCAUGUCCACUUAGGACUCUGUUCUGUGGGUAGAACUCAGACGUCCUACGGAGUGUCAAACCACUUUGACUUUAGGGUGGGGAUGGGUUAAGGGAUAAGAUAAGGUGUAACUUAAGCUAAAUGUAUUCUAUUUAUAAAGCAAGAGACUGUAUUUUUAUGAAAGGAAAAGGUUUUUAAUCUAGGGUAGGCCGUCAUGGUGGCACAGCAUUUUGCUGUGGCUAAGAUACCGUCCUGCUCAUUGACUCCCGUGUGUGCUCAUCAGUCACCCCUCUCCUCGGCUCGCCUUCCAUCGUCAGCAACAUCUGCACACAGCUGGGGCAGGAAUAUGUUGUCCUUUCCCAGCCCACGGCUCCUCAGAAGUCUUGGGAGGAAACUGGGGUGGGGAGGGCGGGUGGACUGCAGAAAACUGAGGUGAGGGAGAGGUGCUUCAGAAGUAGGUUCUGAUUAGUCACCCCAAGUCCCCUCUGGCCAGACCUGCUUCCAUUCAGCUGUGUGGAGAGAGUAGGAGGGAAGUUCUGUGGGGCUGGGGAACACAGGACUCCUUUGGGGCUUAGGGGCUUACUAUGUGUGAAGUUGUCAGGCAGCUGGAGCAGGCACAGAAGGGACCCCGAUGCUCAGAGCUCAGCCCUGUCUGUGUCUACUCCAGGUCAAGGUCAAGCUUGGUUUUAGAUGAAGGACCAGGAAACUGGAGGCUCUCCUCAGACAUACAGUCUCUCUGGGAAGGGAUUUCCAGGCUCAGCGUGGGCUGUGUGUGAGUCUCAGGCAAAUGCCUCACCUUUCCAGUUCCUUCCCAAGCCCGGAAGAGAUGUGAAUUCCCCACCAUGACAUGACCCCUUUCCGCACAUUGUAGCAUCUACCUGGUUUUUAGUCCCACCCUACCCACCGUUGCUGUGUCUGUCAGCUGGGUCUGAAAAUCACCGGGAGGGGUUUGUACUCAUAAAAAGACUACUGACCCUACCAGAAAACCAACCUGUUUACUGUACUGUUGUAAAUACUGUGCCCUUUAUAUCCUGUAUAUUGGCUUCUUUGGAAUAAAGUAAAAUGUCUUAGAA
rnacentral:lncRNA from 1 species